UGUACUGAAGAAGACUUUAGCUCAGAUGGCAUCGCGUUUGAACUAUUGAUGCUAUCCGCUCACUCUACAAGGCACAGCAGAUUUCUAGGUAAUUCAAGUAGUUGUCGUGGGGGGAAAAAUUGAAGGAUGCAGUGGCAGGCACCAGAAUUUUAGAGAAUUCCAGCAGCAUCAGGUUCAGCUGAGAGAUUCCUGCUCGUCUUUGUAGAGGGAUCCUGUUCC